GCUUAACACAUGCAAGUCGAACGCAACCUUCGGGUUGAGUGGCGGACGGGUGAGUAACGCGUGAGAAUCUGCCUUGGGGUCGGGGAGCAACCACUGGAAACGGUGGCUAAUACCGGAUAAGCCUUUGGGUAAAAAAUUUAUUGCCCCAAGAGGAGCUCGCGUCUGAUUAUCUACUUGGUGAGGUAAAAGCUCACCAAGGCAGCGAUCAGUAACUGGUCUGAGAGGACGAUCAGCCACGCUGGGACUGAGACACAGCCCAAACUCCUACGGGAGGCAGCAGUGGGGAAUUUUCCGCAAUGGGCGAAAGCCUGACGGAGCAAGACCGCGUGAGGGAGGAAGGCUCUUGGGUUGUAAACCUCUUUUCUCAGGGAAGAAGCUCUGACAGUACCGUGCAGGAAUCAGCCUCGGCUAACUCCGUGCCAGCAGCCGCGGUAAUACGGAGGAGGCAAGCGUCAUCCGGAAUCAUUGGGCGUAAAGCGUCCGCAUGUGGCGAUUCAAGUCUGCUGUCAAAGCACGGGGCUUAACUCCGUCAAGGCAGUGGAAACUGAAUAGCUCGAGUGCCGUAGGGGUAGACGGAAUUCCCGGUGUAGCGGUGAAAUGCGUAGAGAUCGGGAAGAACAUCGGUGGCGAAAGCGCUCUACUGGACGGCAACUGACACUCAGGGACGAAAGCUAGGGGAGCGAAUGGGAUUAGAUACCCCAGUAGUCCUAGCUGUAAACGAUGGAUACUAGGUGUAGCUUGUAUCGACCCGAGCUGUGCCGAAGCUAACGCGUUCAGUAUCCCGCCUGGGGAGUACGCACGCAAGUGUGAAACUCAAAGGAAUUGACGGGGGCCCGCACAAACGGUGGAGUAUGUGAUUUAAUUCGAUGCAACGCGCAGAACCUUACCAGGGCUUGACAUGUCCGGAAUCCCGGUGAAACCUGGGAGUGCCUUCGGGAGCCGGGAACACAGGUGGUGCAUGCCGGUCGUCAGCUCGUAUCGUGAGAUGAUGGCUUAAGUCCCGCAACGAGCGCUACCCUCGUCUUUAGUUGCCAGCAUUAAG
rnacentral:rRNA from 1 species